GCGCCCGGCACAGCCCGGACCCCGGUGUAAAGUCGGGCAUCUGCGCAGUAAACAUCUGGCCUCGGAGCUGUCCUCCGCGCCUUGGCUGCCCCAGCCAGGGGAAGGAUAUGCGGAGGGCUCUAAGUCAAAGCGGGCGUUUUUGCGGGUGUAGACACUGCGGCGCCUGGGUCUGCAGGAGGGGCAGAUUUUCAGGUGGCCGGGACAGGUGAAGGCAGAGAGGAGUGGCUGUCCACCUGGGGAAGGACAUACCUCGGGCCAUCAGGAAGCUUUCAGAGCCAACUGUGGAGGGCGGGACUCUAAAAGCUAAACUUGGUCUAAAUAACAUUCUAAGGGUAAGGCAACCUCUAUAAUCUGGACUCAGCCAUCAUUUUGCAAAAACAGUUGUAUGGUUCCUCCUCUUUCCCCUCCUGUCUGUAACUUGUCUGUUACUCAGCAUUUAUUCAUGCCUGCUGUGUACGGAAAGGGCAGUUACAAAGGAAAGCCUUGAUGAUUCUGCUUCCAAGAAACGUGAAGAUCAGAUAAUAUGCCAGGGACAAUUGAGUAAUGGGUCAAGACAACAGGCCUUGUAGGAUCCUGAAAACAUCACACACAGUGGACCACGCUUUGCCCUCAGAGUGACUGCUCCGACCCGGAAGGAGAGGUCAACGACCCCUCAGGACACAAAGGGUUUCUUAGGUUGUUCUGCGCAGUCACAUGGCUUCCAGAACCAGAACGUUCAGCUCUUAAAGUCUGCACAGAAGAACUGAUAGAAUCUGCUCCUUUCAAUGGAAUCUGUGACUGUUUGGGAAGGAUGUGCAUGGAGAAGGGUCUGAUGAGGCUCCUGAUCCAGGCGGUCCACGUGCGUUCAGUGUGUUUGGACCCUAGGCACCUCUGUCUAUUGCUCGGUCUUGCGUACAUAGUCCAUAGCUUGGCAUCAGCACAGAUCGAUGCUUAGUGAGCACAAUUAAGAAACCAAACUAUGGAAAAUUAAGGACAGUAACAAAAGUAUCAUCAACAAAAAUCAAGCAUUUUCCUCUUUUUGAAACAAGAAAAGCGCAUCGUAGAAACCAAGAUUCUGUACAAUAUUCUAACAUUAUAUGUACAUAAAAUUAUAUUACUCAUAACU
rnacentral:lncRNA from 1 species